AAGUCAAUUUGGUUUAUCUUUAUUUUGCUGCAUCUGAAGUCCAGCAACUCACUUUCCACUUUCUCUACUCCUUUUUCCUCUUUCUUUGUUCUUCUUUCCUCUUCCCUUCUUACACGGCAACAUCUCUCUCUUCCUUUCUCACCAAAAAUUCUAGUUUCCUUAAAGAAGAAAUUAAACAAUUAGCCUUAAGGUUUCAUCUUCAAAGUGUGUGGGCGUUACCAGUUCCCCAGGUUUAAGCUCCUUCGACUUUAGGCUCUCAGUUCCUCUGCUUUCAGCUCACCCCUUCCACUCUUUCAGUUAACAGGUUUUAUUUUGGAGCAGAGGGAGCCUUAGUCGAGUUUGGAAGGAGCUGGUUUUAGUUUGAUAUGUAUAGAUCCUAAAUUAGCAAUUUGAUGUUUAGCUUUAUAGUAUUGUGUAUUUUAGGAUCAAAUGAAAGUUGUGUACCUUAAGGUAUUAAGCGAUGUAUUAUGUAAAAGUGUGAAAAUUAAAUGAUUGGUGGAUUAUGUUA